GCGACGCCGCGUGAGGGAUGAAGGCCUUCGGGUUGUAAACCUCUUUCAGCAGGGACGAAGCGAAAGUGACGGUACCUGCAGAAGAAGGGCCGGCCAACUACGUGCCACCCGCCGCGGUAACGGUAAGACGUAGGGCGCGAGCGUUGUCCGGAAUUAUUGGGCGUAAAGAGCUCGUAGGCGGCUUGUUGCGUCGGCUGUGAAAACCCGCGGC
rnacentral:rRNA from 1 species